rnacentral:lncRNA from 1 species
AGGUUCAAGGGUAGUCCUACUUGAUGACAACCCACCAAGUCUCUCUGACACCUGCUCACCAGUCUUCCUGGACCUGAAAUCUUGCUCAGAUUUUCCAGAGCAUUUUGCAUUUCUGUCUAGCAGAGCAACUGCGAGAUCUAGGAGGCGCCUCACUCUCUACUCUGGAAAAGAUAAGAACUGAAGAGUAAAUAAAUACCUGAGAGAAACACAUCACUGCAAGAAAAGAGGCAGAAGUGCAGGUACAUUCAUUGGAACUAUGUCUCAGAAAUAGUACAUAUUUGAAACAUUUAACCUUCAUAAAUUUUUUAUAAGGAUCCAUAUUCAUAUCCUCAAUUAUACAUUAGGGAACCAAGGCUCAUCAAGUAAUGUGGUCAAUGCAAAAAUUAAAUUAGUAAGUGAAGAAACUGGGUUUCACACCCAUAUCUAACUUCAAAAUCCAUGUGACUGACACUACCAUCCUUCCUUGCCAACACUAGUUCAGAUACCAAAGGAUAAAAGUAGACUUUUAAUUUAUUAUAUGAUUGCAAAAUUGUGUAUGCUCAUUAUAAAAUUUGUAAAAACAGAAAGCCAUAAGCAAAAAGAUCCACAAUCCCACCCACCUAGCAAUACCCAUUGUUAAUAUUUUGAAGUAGGUUCUAUUUUUUAUGAAUGAUAUAAUUAUCUUUUAAGUAAAUCAUGAUAUAAUGCUGUUUUAUAAUCUGCUUUUUUAUGAACCUUCCCAAUCUGCUUAUUUUUCCACAAUGUCAUUUUUAGACAAUUACACAUUGUUCCACAAAAUUAAUAGACUACAAUUAAUUUAAGCAUUCUAAAUUGAUAUUUAGGUUGAUAUGAUUUUUUACUAUUAUAAUGAAAACGAUGACAAACAUUCUUGUCAAUGAUUUUAUGAGCAUGUUUAGUUUAUAAGAAUAAAUUUGUAAAGCAAUAUUGCUGAAUCAAAGUGCAUGCAUUUCUUCAAGUCUUUCACUAUAUUACCAAAUUGUAUUUCACAAAUUUUUACAGCAAUUUAUACUUUCACCAGCAUAUUUGGGAAUACAUCUCUCCUUGCAACUUUAAUAACACAAGGAAUUAUCAUUUUUCCAUUGCUAUUAGUUGAUAAACAGAAAAGAG